AUGACUACCUGCUUCUCAGAUAUUAUAAAAGAUCAUUCCCUCAAUUUUAUAGGCUUGCAAGAAACUAGGAAGAAAGAAGUCCUUCCUAAUUUUUUGCGUAAAAUUGAUCCCUUGGAUAGGUUUACUUGGAAUUGGGUGUCCUCUGUUGGCAAAUCUGGAGGCAUCCUUUGUGGCAUUAAAAAAGAAACCCUGGAAGUUGUCUCCUGGACAGUGGGUAAAUUCUAUUUGCAAGCUACCCUUUUUGACAUAAAACUCAAAGUGUGGUCCCUUAUUACUGUUUAUGGAGCGGCGCAGGACGACAAGAAAGAUGAAUUCCUAUGUGAACUUGCAUCCGUGUGCUCUCAUCUUCAAGUCCCUUACAUUGUGGGGGGGGACUUUAAUAUCCUCCGUGAGAAUUGUGAGAAAAACAAGGUUAUGAACCGGUCUCCUUAUAUGGAUAAGUUUAAUUCCAUUAUUCAAUCCCUGAACCUACAGGAGAUACACAUGGGAGGGGGAAAAUACACCUGGUCCAACCAUCAAAGACAUCCUACUUUAGAAAAGCUUGAUAGAGUCCUUAUGAAUUUUGAAUGGGAGGACCUCUUCCCCCUGGUCACAGUUUGGAAACUGGUGCGAGAUGUGUCUGAUCAUAACCCCCUACUGUUGUCAUCAAAUUUGAUGAUGAAAAAAACUUUGCAUCAACGUGAAUUCAGGUUUGAGCUUAGCUGGCUGAAAGAUGAGAAUUUUUAUCCUACCGCAAAAAGAAUAUGGGAGAAACUAGUUUCCUCCGAUGAUCCCAUUGACAUCCUUAAUAUCGAACUCAAGAGACUAAAAAAUACUUCAAAGGUUGAGGCUCCCAUUUUUUUGGUCAUGCUAGGAAAAGGAAAAAGGAUAUUCAAAGGGAGUUAG
rnacentral:rRNA from 1 species